UCUCCGUAGGUGAACCUGCGGAGGGAUCAUUACAGAGUUCUCGCCCUCGCGGGUAGAUCUCCCACCCACUGUUAUCGUUACUGUGUUGCUUUGGCGGGCCGCCGGGCCCCGCUCGGCCGCCGGCUCCGGCUGGCGCGCGCCCGCCAGGGGCCCAGCAAACUCUGAAUGUUAGUGUCGUCUGAGUACUAUAUAAUAGUUAAAACUUUCAACAACGGAUCUCUUGGUUCUG
rnacentral:misc_RNA from 1 species